AGGAACAAAGGAGGGCAGCCAUCUUUCAGUCCUCAGCCAAGAGCUGGUGAACUUUCAGGAUGUCAUUAAUUGUGCACUCAGUGAACUUGUAGAUAAAGAGAAAGCGAUGGGCGUGUCAAGUGGGCGUGGUCACAUGGCCCAAGAUAUUGAGAGCUUUGACAGCGACAUCGAUAAUACAGACAACAAGAGGCAAAGAACAUAAACAAUAUAAUCAUUGUAUUAUAGUAAUGUUGUUGCUCAGUCUCUAUCAGCAAUAGCUACUAGCCUCUCGUCCAC